AAUGAAGAACGUAGUGAAAUGCGAUACGUAAUGUGAAUUGCAAAUUCAGUGAAUCAUCGAGUCUUUGAACGCACAUUGCGCCCCCUGGUAUUCCGGGGGGCAUGCCUGUCCGAGCGUCAUUGCUGCCCUCAAGCACGGCUUGUGUGUUGGGCCCCGUCCUCCGAUCCCGGGGGACGGGCCCGAAAGGCAGCGGCGGCACCGCGUCCGGUCCUCGAGCGUAUGGGGCUUUGUCACCCGCUCUGUAGGCCCGGCCGGCGCUUGCCGAUCAACCCAAAUUUUUAUCCAGGUUGACCUCGGAUCAGGUAGGGAUACCCGCUGAACUUAAGCAUAUCAAUAAGCGGAGGA
rnacentral:misc_RNA from 1 species